rnacentral:rRNA from 1 species
AUAUCAGUCAUGCAUAGCAUAUCAAUAAGCGGAGGAAAAGAAACUAACAAGGAUUCCCUUAGUAACGGCGAGUGAAGCGGGAAGAGCUCAAAUUUGAAAUCUUCAAGGUUUUACCUUGACGAAUUGUAGUUUAAAGAAGUGUUUUCUGUUGAAGUUUUGGUAAAAGUUCUUUGGAAUAGGACAUCAUAGAGGGUGAGAAUCCCGUAUUUGACCAUUACUUUCAGCUUUGUGAUACACUUUCAAAGAGUCGGAUUGUUUGGGAAUGCAGUCCAAAAUGGGUGGUAAAUUUCAUCUAAAGCUAAAUAUUGGCGAGAGACCGAUAGCGAACAAGUACCGUGAGGGAAAGAUGAAAGAACUUUGAAAAGAGAGUUAAACAGUACGUGAAAUUGUCAAAAGGGAAGCGUUUGACACCAGUGUUGUUUUCUCGAAAAUCAAUUAAAAAGAGUUGGAUUUUGUGUUGUAUUGACUUUAUCAGGCUUUCUUCACUCUUUUCCAGCUUUUUUUAAUGCACUUUUCGUUUAACAAGUCAACAUCAGUUUCUUUUGUUGUAAAAAGGUCAUUGGAAGGUGGCUCUCUCUUCGGAGAAAGUGUUUAUAGCCUUUGACUCAUGCAAUCGGAGAGACUGAGGUCUGCAGCGUAGAUCCUUCGGGGUUAGAUACAUUUGUGCUAAGUUAUAGCUUUUCAUAGACAACUUGUUGACUAUGUUUAGUCUUGUAGCUUACUCGCUUAUGCUAUUUUACCUACGCUUAGGAUGUUGAACUCUAUCACACACAG